GCCAUCUCAACGACCAUCGAAAUCAUCUUUUCGCUCUGCUGAAAAUUUCAUCACUGUUUCUCAUUCCGUGUCACUCCAGAAGCUUCUGUCAGAACUGAACCGUAUCCUACAUCUCUGCCAAGAACGAGGGAGGAAGAGGGAGAUCAGGCCCUUCUGUCCUUCUUAUCUGAGACAGAUUCAUGCAGCACAGACGGACCGUAAGUGACACACGACUGAUGGAGAGAAAGACCAGCCUGCGUUUCAGCUUCCCUGUGCUCCAGAGAAAUGACCUAAUUUUUGACAUG
ensembl:lncRNA